rnacentral:lncRNA from 12 species
AUGCACACAGGUGUGCGCACUUGCACUCACGCACACACAUGUGCACACACUGGGUACUUACUGCUCCGGGCCUGGCUCCAUCUCAGGAAGUCUCACGCCGGGAGGAUCCCAGACUGUCCCACCCCCACCCGCCCGGCUCCUUCCUACAAGAAGCCCCCCCUGCUGUCAUGUCCCCUAAUCCACAUUUGUAAGGAAUGUGGGGGUGCUGCAUGCUGGGUGGCAAGGAUGGCCACUCCCCUUGGGGGCUGGGGCUGGGCAUUUGGGAAAAUCAGAGCCUCCGAGGCUCCCUCCACCUCCUGGUCCUGCCCGAGACUGGCCGUGCUCAGAAGGCGCCUGCGCUUUUGCCCCGCGUGGAGUGUGGUUGCCUGCACCUGCGCGGACGACCGCGGCCUUGGACCGUGCCCUCUGGGGCGGAGGCUCAUGCUCCUCGGGCCAGGCAGGCGGCUCUGGGGCCCAGUCCAGGCCGGGGAGCUAAGAGGACGUGCCGGAGAACUUCCCAUCCUGGGCUCUCUGGCAGCAGGCUCUCGGGGAGCACGCCUCCCCACCGGGGGCUCCUCUGGCGUGGCUCCCGAGACGGGCACUGUGGCCACCCCCUUCUCGGCUUUCCAUCCUGCCUCGGCGUCGCUUGGCCAGGGGGCCCUGACGCUGCUGCUUCCUGAGCUGGCCCUGGGAUCUGGGGUAGGACAGACACGCCGGAGGCUGUUCACAGACGCCCCCCGCCCCCUCCCAUCCGAUGCUGGCCUCGUCAGCAGGUGUCCCGAGACCCCUCAUCCGGGGCCUGCUCCGGAGCAGCCUCCUGCGUGGGCCACCCUGGGCGGUUUCACGGCUGCUGUGGCCCCCUGUCCACCCCCACCGGUCAGGGAGCCUCUGCGGGCUGUCAGCCCCCUCCCAGAGCACAGAGGGCAGCCACUACGGGCUGCAUCAGCGUGGCCUCCUUCCGCUCAGGCUUCGGGCAGGCCGGCCCUGGGCUCUAGGGAGACGGCGGUCGAAUCCCUGCUGGCUGACAGUGAGGGCUGCCGGGCUGCACCCCGGUCCUCCUGA